GAAUAAUAUUGUAGGGUUGAAUCUAAAAACGCGCCUAUUAGAACCAACAAUUCUUGUUUGCAUUGAAUCAAUCCAUCUGGUGGUUUGUUUCUAAUCCGGCAUAUUUUUGAAACUACAAAAUUCUGUGUCGAAUGAAUUAUUGAUGCUCGAUUUUCAUUUCAACAAAUAACAAUUGUUAUUUCAACAAUAUCAUUUUGUUGAAUCAACUUUUUUUUUCUUGUCGCCAUUUUGUAUUUAAGAAAUAAACAGAAAAGUUGAAGGCAAAAAUUAAAUUUUGUUUAAGGUUGAAAAAGAAGUGUCCACGGCAUAUUCGGUAGCUGUCAAUUUUAAUAUCUUUGGUGAGUAUAUAUUUUCCGUCGUAGUUAAAUACAAUAUUCUUUUAGUAAUCAUACGAAAAAGAUGAUUUUACUAUUCAUGAUGGUUAUGACGGUGUAAAUUCGAAAGGAAGGAAAGCUAUAGAAUUUACUAAAUUUGUUCCGACCGGUCGGUUUAGCAGCGAUGAUUGUACCGGACUAUAUCAUCUUACACCUAUUAAUUCGAAACACAAAUUCAAUGAUCAAAUAUAAUCUGUAAAGCUUAUGCAUUGAAUUAGUAGGAAUGUUAAUAAAAAAAUAUUUUUAAAUCAAUGAAAUGCUUUGUUAAUAUCAAUGAACAGAAUUGUAGAAACAACAAAAGUUGGUUUUUCUUUCAACACACAUUCUGUGUUACUUCAAUAUGGGGUGUUUUUAGAAUUAACAAAUUAUAUUUUUGUUUCAAUUGCAUUUAUUUUUGUUUUUGACAGCUGGCUAUUUUGAGACAUUUUUAGAUACAACAAUUUAUUUUGUAGGAAUUAAUGGAAGUUAUCAUUGAGUCAACAAAAAUUGCCGAUAAGCCGUGAG
rnacentral:lncRNA from 1 species